UCCUAAUUGAAAGGCCAGGACCAAGUUUUAGAAAGCAUGUUUUAUGGGAGGCUUGGGGUAAAUUGUAGGUUUCCAUUGGAGGGGCAAACUAGACAGGUGGUUAUGGGGACGAACCCUGUUGACCUGAAGUCACAAUCAGUGGGGGUAUAAAAUCCCCUGGAUUUACACUCUACUCAUUUACCGUGAGUGGGGAAAAUAGUCAUAGACAGACAGGUUACGCUACUCACCUAAUUGAGGCUAAGAAAGAACCUGACAACAUGACUAAAAUGGUGAUCACUUACAUUGGCUUCCUUCUCCUUGCCAUGCAGUUGUCACAAGUCUUCUCACAAAACAUUAGGCGUAGGCCUACAACAAGGUCCCCGGCGAUGACUGUGAACACUACCAAAGUUGACGGUGGCGCACGUUCCAAUAUGACCAAGGUACCCGAUGUUGUCACUACCACCAACCCCACCAUUCCCAAAGGAGCCUGCGUGUCCUUGCAGUCCAGUGCGUUUACGCUGCUCAUUCUCAUGUUGGCGGGUCCGCUCCUACAGGGCCGCUUAUAGAGGGUUCAUCUGCACUAAACACACUGCCACGAAUACAAUCGAUGGAACAGAACACCUUUCUACUGAUGGGAAUGAUUUGGAUCACACCUCCCCAGCUAUUUCAACCCAGUAUAGGUAGGCAUACACUCCCUGCUUACUGGCCCUAUGGUGUGGUCCCCUCAAUGGCAGCAGGCCAUGAGGAUGUACUGAACUCUGCUUUUUGACUCUGUUGGUUCCAGUGUCCAGACAGCAGGCUGUCGUUUUGGACUGUUUUGUAACUUCUGAAGCUAAAUGUUUGCUGUGCCUGGGAAAUCAACUGCAUAUAAUGUUGGUUGAGAUGCAUUCUGUAAUUAAUGUAACCUAUAUUUUGUCUUAUCUCUGGCACUUGAGUCCAAGCUCCAACCUGGGUUUGAACCAGUGACCAUCUGAACACAACUGCCUCUCACUGUUAACCAGCUAGUCACUUCACACCUGUUACACUUGCUAUUUCUACCCCUGAAACUGCAAUGUAUACUUUGUCAAAGGCUUGAUAUACUCUUGUGAUUUGUAGAAUAGUUACAUUUUGUUAAGUUCUCAACUUUUGAUUUUAACUGUUAAGCGGUGAUGUAAUAUGCUUAGAUUUAUUUUGUAUUGCCAGAUUUAAUAAAGCUAUGACAUUUACAAUAAAUAUUCAAUGUUGUACAAUAAAAUGAAUAACACUA